rnacentral:rRNA from 1 species
GAUGAACGCUGGCGGCGUGCUUAACACAUGCAAGUCGAACGGAAAGGCUCCUGCUUGCAGGGGUACUCGAGUGGCGAACGGGUGAGUAACACGUGGGUGAUCUGCCCUGCACUUCGGGAUAAGCCUGGGAAACUGGGUCUAAUACCGGAUAGGACGACGGUUUGGAUGCCAUUGUGGAAAGUUUUUCGGUGUGGGAUGAGCUCGCGGCCUAUCAGCUUGUUGGUGGGGUAAUGGCCUACCAAGGCGUCGACGGGUAGCCGGCCUGAGAGGGUGUACGGCCACAUUGGGACUGAGAUACGGCCCAGACUCCUACGGGAGGCAGCAGUGGGGAAUAUUGCACAAUGGGCGCAAGCCUGAUGCAGCGACGCCGCGUGGGGGAUGACGGCCUUCGGGUUGUAAACUCCUUUCGCUAGGGACGAAGCGCAAGUGACGGUACCUGGAGAAGAAGCACCGGCUAACUACGUG